UCCCGGCAUGCUCACCUUCGAAGCUGGACACGUAGUCGCCACGUGUCGACUCAGCAGCAUUGCCAGGUGAUGACGAUCCCACUUCCUCGAAUCAUCACGCGCCUUCUCUCCUGCUCAUUCCUUUCUUUGCUCGCUCUCGUCUGUUCUUGAGCUUUCUGGCGAUUCGAUCGAACCCGUCUCGGAGAAAACGCGCGCGAACCCAUGUCAAGCGCCGAGGACAUCGACUCGACCUACGAGCGCCUCGGCGAGGCGUUUCCGGCGCCGGAAGCCGACGAAGUGGCGGGACCGGUCUUGGAGCCGCCGGAGUACGUCACGUCUAAGCAGCUCAAGCAGGAAGAAGGGGAUGAAAAGUGGAAGGAAGCGGGGAAGGAGGAGAGCAAAGGGAGGAGGUGUAGAGACUCGGCGCCAGAGAGCUUGAGAUCAACGAUCGUAUUCUCCGUGGCGGUCGUGGCGGUGGUCGGAGCAAUAAUCGCCAUCGCUAAGAAGCUGAGAGAGAAUUGAGAUUGCGGUGCGGAACUCAGUAGUUCGUCGGUUCACACUGUCGCUCUUUUUCUUUUUUGGCUAAGCAUCAUUGCGUGACUCAGCGCAAUGUUGAUUACACUUGACAUGUUUGAGCGGUCUAAAAUAAUUGAAGUUCCGUAUGUACUGGGAUAGAUUGGUGGUCCUUAAUCACGAUUGAAUUGGAAACAAAAGGACGGUGGUUUUCCAAUCCUUAGGAUCAAAGAUGGAUACGGCGUGGAAGAGAGCGCAACACGAUAUAGUCGCUAACCCUUCAAAGGGCCGCCGCAUUCUACUCCUCGAAUCGAGGCGGCUCAACCCUCGAAAGAGCCGAUCGCGACAAGACUAUUAUGUACUAGGUAUGAAAUCACAUCGGAACCAGAAUCACCUCAUUAACACCGCCCGAUCACCAGAUCGCCAGUUGCCGAUAAAAUUUCAGUCAGCCAAACGAUACUCGAACACGAACCCACCAAAUGUUGUUCAUCAGCCUCGUGAUUGUAUGCACAUACAGGGAAAAGAGUCGAGUCAGCUAGAAAGCUAUAGCCAGACCUGAGAUGAGAGGAAAAUGGGAUCUGUGCGAA